ensembl:snoRNA
GUUGAAGUCUGUCCCAAUGGGGCUUUUUCUAUAGACCUACAUUGUUGGAAACGCUUCAUAGUUUCCUUUAUUCACAGAACUGUGUGUUAGAUCCAUCUGAAAGAACUACAAGAUAUAU